CCUAAUUUGGAGUUACUGAAAGCUAAGCUGUGCUUUUUGAAGCCCUGUGAACUGAAGCUAGACAACUUAAACUUCAGAAGAAAAUAACAGCAGCCUAUUUACAUAUAUAAGCUACUUUCAUACCUGCCUACUGACGUAUGGACUUCAGAGUAAUGUGGCCUAUAUCGAUUUUCUAGGAUCGUUAUUUUGUUUGUUGUUUUUCUCCCUUCCUCCCCCUAUUUUCUCUUCACAGGACAUGAGGAUUCUCAACCUG
rnacentral:lncRNA from 1 species